rnacentral:rRNA from 1 species
CCUACGGGUGGCAGCAGUGGGGGAUAUUGGACAAUGGGGGAAACCCUGAUCCAGCGACGCCGCGUGAGUGAAGAAGUCUUUCGGUAUGUAAAGCUCUAUCAGCAGGGAAGAAAGAAAUGACGGUACCUGAGUAAGAAGCCCCGGCUAACUACGUGCCAGCAGCCGCGGUACUACGUAGGGGGCAAGCGUUAUCCGGAAUUACUGGGUGUAAAGGGAGCGUAGACGGUAAUGCAAGUCUGGAGUGAAAGGCGGGGGCCCACCCCCCGGACUGCUCUGGAAACUGUGUAACUGGAGUGCAGGAGAGGCAGGCGGAAUUCCUAGUGUAGCGGUGAAAUGCGUAGAUAUGAGGAGGAACACCAGUGGCGAAGGCGGCCUGCUGGACUGUAACUGACGUUGAGGCGCGAAAGCGUGGGGAGCAAACAGGAUUAGAUACCCCGGUAGUC